GUGCUCACUUUAGCAGCACAUGUACUAAAACUGGAAUGAUAAAGAGAAGAUUUGGCCCCUGCACAAGGAUGAUAUGCAGAUUCAUGAAGUGUUCCAUAUUUUA
rfam:Otolemur garnettii contig084582, whole genome shotgun sequence.